CUUUCACCUACAGUGUUGUUUCUAUGUAGAAUUUAUUACAGAGUGCUUUAGAUUCACUGUAAUAUAAAAAGAAUUUUAACAAAUUCGACAUUUCACGUGCUUCGCUAUGACAUAGAAAAUGCAUUUUGGUGGUCAUUAGUAAAUCUUUAGGAAUGCUAAUCAGGGAACAAUCAUAAGUAAACUCGGUGUGAUAUACAAACCUUAAUAGCGCUAUAACGUCCUGAGAAUGGAUAAUGUUUGUCAAUAGAAGAUGUUCAAUGGGACUCUUUCCUUAGGUCUCUUGCAGUUAAAU